rnacentral:rRNA from 1 species
CCACAGUGGUAUUGCUUAGUACGGCGAGUGAAGCGGCAAAAGCUCAAAUUUGAAAUCUGGCACCUUCGGUGUCCGAGUUGUAAUUUGAAGAAGGUAACUUUGGAGUUGGCUCUUGUCUAUGUUCCUUGGAACAGGACGUCACAGAGGGUGAGAAUCCCGUGCGAUGAGAUGCCCAAUUCUAUGUAAAGUGCUUUCGAAGAGUCGAGUUGUUUGGGAAUGCAGCUCUAAGUGGGUGGUAAAUUCCAUCUAAAGCUAAAUAUUGGCGAGAGACCGAUAGCGAACAAGUACAGUGAUGGAAAGAUGAAAAGAACUUUGAAAAGAGAGUGAAAAAGUACGUGAAAUUGUUGAAAGGGAAGGGCUUGAGAUCAGACUUGGUAUUUUGCGAUCCUUUCCUUCUUGGUUGGGUUCCUCGCAGCUUACUGGGCCAGCAUCGGUUUGGAUGGUAGGAUAAUGACUAAGGAAUGUGGCUCUACUUCUGUGGAGUGUUAUACCCUUGGUUGAUACUGCCUGUCUAGACCGAGGACUGCCUCUUUUGACUACGAAGGUGGUAUCCUGUUCUUUCUCCUCCCCCCCUUAAGAAAGAUACCAAACCAAAAAGGGGGGGGGGGGGGGGUUUUUACUGAGUGGGGCGUGUAAAGCUGGAGAUGUGUAGGUGUGGUUGUGUUUGGGGGGUACUUUUUUUGCAGAGAGGUCG